UCAGGCCUAACACAUGCAAGUCGAGCGGGGUUUUCGGACCUAGCGGCGGACGGGUGAGUAAUGCGUAGGAAGCUACCCGAUAGAGGGGGAUACCAGUUGGAAACGACUGUUAAUACCGCAUAAUGUCUACGGACCAAAGUGUGGGACCUUCGGGCCACAUGCUAUCGGAUGUGCCUACGUGGGAUUAGCUAGUUGGUGAGGUAAUGGCUCACCAAGGCGACGAUCCCUAGCUGGUUUGAGAGGAUGAUCAGCCACACUGGAACUGAGACACGGUCCAGACUCCUACGGGAGGCAGCAGUGGGGAAUAUUGGACAAUGGGCGCAAGCCUGAUCCAAAAGUGCCGCGUGUGUGAAGAAGGCCUUCGGG
rnacentral:rRNA from 1 species